GACGAACGCUGGCGGCGUGCCUAAUACAUGCAAGUUGAGCGCUGAAGGUUGGUACUUGUACCAACUGGAUGAGCAGCGAACGGGUGAGUAACGCGUGGGGAAUCUGCCUUUGAGCGGGGGACAACAUUUGGAAACGAAUGCUAAUACCGCAUAAAAACUUUAAACACAAGUUUUAAGUUUGAAAGAUGCAAUUGCAUCACUCAAAGAUGAUCCCGCGUUGUAUUAGCUAGUUGGUGAGGUAAAGGCUCACCAAGGCGAUGAUACAUAGCCGACCUGAGAGGGAGACCGGCAAAAUUGGGACAGAGACAAGGCCAAAACUCCUAAGGGAGGCAGAAGGAGGGAAUCUUCGGCAAUGGACGAAAGUCUGAACGAGCAAAGCCGCGUGAGUGAAGAAGGGUUUCGGAUCGUAAAACUCUGUUGGUAGAGAAGAACGUUGGUGAGAGUGGAAAGCUCAUCAAGUGACGGUAACUACCCAGAAAGGGACGGCUAACUACGUG
rnacentral:rRNA from 1 species